GUCCGCCGUCAGCAGUGGUAUUCGUAUCCAACGUUUAACCGUCCGUCUUAUUUAAAAAAUUUAUAGAGAAACUUUUUAAAAAAUAGUCACACAUAAAGUGCUAUUAAUAUUUUAUUAUCUAAUAAUAAAAAAUACUAAUUAUAAAAAAAUUUCAAGUAAGACGAACGGUCAAAUGUUAGAUAUAAACGGUAUAAAACUACAUUUACU
rfam:Oryza glumipatula chromosome 11, whole genome shotgun sequence.